rnacentral:lncRNA from 1 species
AUCCCAUCUGAAGUCCUCCCUCUCCUCUUCACGCCCAAGGAGUUGGGCAUCCAUCUGAUGCAAGAUCAAAGUGUGGUGAUGCCUUGAACAGGAAGGCUGCAGGAGUUCUUCGACAAGCUGCUGCUCCAACUUCAGAAAGACUUUUGAAGAUCUUCCUAAUUAGAUUUAGUUCUAAUUUUUGGAGUAGAGAUUCGCGAGGAGA